rnacentral:lncRNA from 1 species
GCCUCUUGAGUACUUCGGAGGCGGCUACAGUGAUUUCUCUUCCACUUCUGAUAUUGAUGGCCCUAGGCUUUCCUCUGCUUCCCAAGGCAUCGUGAGUUCUUAGAUCCCAAAUUGUGGUUUAAUUUGAUACCAAAGUUCCAUUUUAAAGGAAUUGUACGUUUGUGUGCCAAACAGGAAGAUCCAGAGUCUGAGGUGAGAAGGCUCAGGCUGGAGCUGAAACAAACAAUGGAUAUGUACAAUAACGCUUGUAAAGAAGCUCUUACUGCAAAAACUAAGGUAACAUAACAUUAACCAUUUCAGCUGUGGUUUAGACGAACGGAUUCAUUAGUUCUUACUGUUUGGAUUGGAUGGACAGGCGAAGGAGCUACAGAGAUGGAAAGCCGAUAAGCAACAGAGGGUAGAGAUGUCCAAAACGGUAGAGGAAGUUGCAUUAGCAGCAGCAGAGGAAGAAAAGGCCAAACGCAGGACAGCCAUGGAAGCAGCC